CAUUAAGAUACUUAAGAGCAAGUAUUGGUCUCUUAAACCAAAUUAUGAUAAAUAGCAACUAUCCUUAAUGA
rnacentral:tRNA from 1 species